GAUGAACGCUAGCGGCAGGCCUAACACAUGCAAGUCGAGGGGCAGCACAGAAACAGCAAUGUUUUAGUGGCGACCGGCGGACUGGUGCGUAACGCGUAUUCAACCUACCUUACACAGGGGGAUAACGGAUGGAAAAGUCCACUAACACCCCAUAACAUUGGAAUCCGCAUCGGAAUCGGUUGAAAUCUCCGGAGGUGCAGGAGUGGCAUGCGUUGGAUUAGGUAGUUGGUGAGGUAACGGCUAACCAAGUCGACGAUACAUAGGGGGACUGAGAGGUUAGCCACCCACACUGGUACUGAGACACGGACCAGACGCCUACGGGAGGCAGCAGUGAGGAAGAUUGGUCAAUGGGGGCAACCCUGAAUCAGCCAUGCCGCGUGCAGGAAGACGGCUCUAUGAGUUGUAAACUGCUUUUACACAGGGAUAAAUCGGGGUACGCGUACCCCGUUGAAGGUACUGUGGGAAUAAGGAUCGGCUAACUCCGUGCCAGCAGCCGCCGUAA
rnacentral:rRNA from 1 species